UUGGGGUAAAAUUUUAUAUUAUCGCAUUUUAUCUUUAUUUGAAGUAAACAUGGGCAUAAGUUUGUAACCCGAAGUCUGAACCAUCCGAUACGAAACGUAAAAAAAAAACAGAAUGAAUCUUGUAUGGUGGUAUAAAACAUAUCUGAACUCGAAGUGUUAUUAGCUGAACUCGAAAAGGUAACCCAAAAACUCGGAAAACCCAAAAUAAAUCUGACUAACCCAAAAAAUAAAAAUAACUGAUUCGAUUUGUCAAAUUAAUAAAAAAUAUUAAUAUUUGAAACAUAAAAUAUGUACUUCAAAGAUUUAAUUUUAUACGGGUGCUUGCAUCAUUUUCCUUUGCUUUAAGAGACGAGGAAAACUUGCUUCUUUUUUUCCGUUUAUAUAUAUAUAUCUAUAAUAAUAAAGGAGAGUUUUCUCCCUCAUUAGGCUGUCCACGUCGCUCUGGAAAGGGGGGGCUUUCUCGCCACGUGUCGGCGCGCUGAGUGGUAUGUGAAUUUCACGCGUUUGCUUUUUAUCUGCGCGUAUGUUUUGCUUAGUCCUCGCUUCUUUUCUGUUUUCCUUAUUCCUCUAUUUGGGUUUGGGUAAUGUUCGAAAAAUAAGCCCACAUAGGCCUAGAUGCUCAUCAUCGUCUCUGGUCACGUGAGAUUAGGGUUCUUCUUCAUUCUUUUUUUUUGCGGUGGAUGCUUGAGCGUCUAAUUUCCAGAGAAACUAAGCACUCCCUUCGCUACCCGUAACGACUUCCAAGUUCCAAUUCCUCAAAGCCGUCAUUUAUUUUGAGUUUUCCCUUGAGUAAUCCACUUCUCAUUCAUUAAGAUUUCGGUGCACCUGUACGUUUCCCUUGAAACCGCCUAUAUCUCCAGCUAUAUAUAUCUCACCUCCAUACCAUGCAAACUCCAACUCAAACCAAAUCCGAAAACUUUUAAUUUGCAAGCAAACGAUUUCGAUGGGUAAUUCAUAAACCGUUCUUGCUGACUUGAGAGCCGGGAGAUGCUCCAACGCGGCGGAGGUCUGUCUUUUGAGAUUCUGGAAGCCAAGAACAUCAACAAAAGGGGACAACUGAUGAGCCUUGAGAUGUUAUUGAUUGAUGAACAAGCGUUUACUUACUUGAAGAAUGGUUCCAUGGUUUCUUUGAGUAGCUACAAAAUCCCACAGCCAAAAGCCGGCACCGUACUUCAACCGUGACUCCUCGGUUAUCCACCGCAGCUUCGUCGACUUUCAAUCCUUGCCGCCAUUUCUCAAUACAACUCAGCCACCUCCAAUGCCUCAACAGUAUCAAGACCAUUUACCUUGCCAGAAAAGUAAGCUGGAUCUCGGUUCAAUGUCGAACUCCUUACAGAACGGAGCCCAAGUUUUAGCAAACUCAGCUGCUUUCGUGAGAGCAUAGAACGUUAGCUGAGAGCUAGCGUCGUCCGAGAGAUAAACGACGAGAUUCUUUGGUGGGUAAACGAGAGCCAACACGGAUAGGACUGUGUUGACCAUCAUCAAUAAUGGCUCGAUCACCGGAUCCGCCAUGGAGUGGAAAAUAUCCAGCUUUGGGAGACCGUUACCGUAUCUCUGGGAGAGUCUAUUGGCGAAGGUGAAUCGCCAAACAGGAUUCCACCGGACAGAUUGUUGGUAUUAAUCAAACAAAACCGGUUUGGUAUUCAAUAAUCUCAACUGGUAUGGUAUGGUCAGUCUUUAAAGCAAAAGCCAACAGAUUCAGCCAAAAACGGAGGUCUUGAAACCUCUGAACGCAAUUUUUCCUCCGGUCCUCUUCCUGGUCACAAGAAGCGGCUAACUAUCGCCUUCAUGAACCAGUAUAAACUGGUAGUCUUUUUUUUUUUUGACUGAUAAACCGGUCGUCUUCUUUUGUCCUGUUCUUCUUUCUGUGAUUUCUCUGAAACAGAGUAAGUGGAAAGCUAAGACUAGGGCAUCAGCCACAUAUUUACUUAUCCGACAUGUUCAAAAGCAACUAAGAAGGCACACCUUGAAUAGGUUGAAGAGGAUACAGUCUUAAACCAAGACGUCGACUCCUAAAAUAAUGCUUAGGCAUCGUUGUUGCUUUUAUUUACUUCAUCUGAUGUUAACUAUCUUCAACGGAAUAUAAAGUUAUAUUUGGAAUUCAUUAUCAUCUUUGGCCA